GCUGCUACUGCAACACGUUAAAGAGGAUCGUGAAGGCUUCUACCUUUGUCAAGCGAACAAUGGCAUUGGAACUGGCAUCGGAAAAGUUAUACAGCUAAAAGUAAAUUCUUCGCCGUACUUCUCAUCCACUUCGCGCUCGGUAACGGU